UAUAGAUGGAUCCGCGCUGCAUUAGCUAGUUGGUAAGGUAACGGCUUACCAAGGCAACGAUGCAUAGCCGACCUGAGAGGGUGAUCGGCCACACUGGAACUGAGACACGGUCCAGACUCCUACGGGAGGCAGCAGUAGGGAAUCUUCCGCAAUGGGCGAAAGCCUGACGGAGCAACGCCGCGUGAGUGAUGAAGGUCUUCGGAUCGUAAAACUCUGUUAUUAGGGAAGAACAUAUGUGUAAGUAACUGUGCACAUCUUGACGGUACCUAAUCAGAAAGCCACGGCUAACUACGUGCCAGCAGCCGCGGUAAUACGUAGGUGGCAAGCGUUAUCCGGAAUUAUUGGGCGUAAAGCGCGCGUAGGCGGUUUUUUAAGUCUGAUGUGAAAGCCCACGGCUCAACCGUGGAGGGUCAUUGGAAACUGGAAAACUUGAGUGCAGAAGAGGAAAGUGGAAUUCCAUGUGUAGCGGUGAAAUGCGCAGAGAUAUGGAGGAACACCAGUGGCGAAGGCGACUUUCUGGUCUGUAACUGACGCUGAUGUGCGAAAGCGUGGGGAUCAAACAGGAUUAGAUACCCUGGUAGUCCACGCCGUAAACGAUGAGUGCUAAGUGUUAGGGGGUUUCCGCCCCUUAGUGCUGCAGCUAACGCAUUAAGCACUCCGCCUGGGGAGUACGACCGCAAGGUUGAAACUCAAAGGAAUUGACGGGGACCCGCACAAGCGGUGGAGCAUGUGGUUUAAUUCGAAGCAACGCGAAGAACCUUACCAAAUCUUGACAUCCUUUGACAACUCUAGAGAUAGAGCCUUCCCCUUCGGGGGACAAAGUGACAGGUGGUGCAUGGUUGUCGUCAGCUCGUGUCGUGAGAUGUUGGGUUAAGUCCCGCAACGAGCGCAACCCUUAAGCUUAGUUGCCAUCAUUAAGUUGGGCACUCUAAGUUGACUGCCGGUGACAAACCGGAGGAAGGUGGGGAUGACGUCAAAUCAUCAUGCCCCUUAUGAUUUGGGCUACACACGUGCUACAAUGGACAAUACAAAGGGCAGCGAAACCGUGAGGUCAAGCAAAUCCCAUAAAGUUGUUCUCAGUUCGGAUUGUAGUCUGCAACUCGACUACAUGAAGCUGGAAUCGCUAGUAAUCGUAGAUCAGCAUGCUACGGUGAAUACGUUCCCGGGUCUUGUACACACCGCCCGUCACACCACGAGAGUUUGUAACACCCGAAGCCGGUGGAGUAACCUUUUAGGAGCUAGCCGUCGAAGGUGGGACAAAUGAUUGGGGUGAAGUCGUAACAAGGUAGCCGUAUCGGAAGGUGCGGCUGGAUCACCUCCUUU
rnacentral:rRNA from 1 species